GAUGAAGAACGCAGCGAAAUGCGAUAAGUAAUGUGAAUUGCAGAAUUCAGUGAAUCAUCGAAUCUUUGAACGCACAUUGCGCCCCCUGGUAUUCCGGGGGGCAUGCCUGUUCGAGCGUCAUUACAACCCUCAAGCUCUGCUUGGUAUUGGGCCCCGCCAGUUCUGGCGGGCCCUAAAGUCAGUGGCGGUGCCUUCCGGCUCCGAGCGUAGUAAUUCUUCUCGCUCUGGAGACCCGGUUGUGUGCUUGCCAACAACCCCCAAUUUUCUAAGGUUGACCUCGGAUCAGGUAGGGAUACCCGCUGAACUUAAGCAUAUCAUAAGCGGAGGA
rnacentral:misc_RNA from 1 species